rfam:Triticum urartu cultivar G1812 contig1388768, whole genome shotgun sequence.
GGAUUAGUAACUCAAUUAGGUAGAGAAUUUCUUUGUCAUAGAAAGAGAUAUCAGUUCGAGUCUGGUCUAGUUCG